rnacentral:rRNA from 1 species
GACGAACGCUGGCGGCGUGCUUAACACAUGCAAGUCGAACGGAAAGGCCCUGCUGUUUUGGGGUGCUCGAGUGGCGAACGGGUGAGUAACACGUGAGUAACCUGCCCUUGACUUUGGGAUAACUUCAGGAAAAUGGGGCUAAUAACGGAUAGGAGCUCCUGCUGCAUGGUGGGGGUUGGAAAGUUUCGGCGGUUGGGGAUGGACUCGCGGGUUAUCAGAUUGUUGGUGGGGUAGUGGCGUACCAAGGCUUUGACGGGUAGACGGCCUGAGAGGGUGACCGGCCACAUUGGGACUGAGAUACGGCCCAGACUCCUACGGGAGGCAGCAGUGGGGAAUAUUGCACAAUGGGCGGAAGCCUAAUGCAGCAACGCCGCGUGCGUGAUGACGGCCUUCGGGUUGUAAACCGCUUUCGCCUGUGACGAAGCGUGAGUGACGGUAAUGGGUAAAGAAGCACCGGCUAACUACGUG